rnacentral:rRNA from 1 species
GAUGAACGCUGGCGGCGUGCCUAAUACAUGCAAGUCGAGCGAACAGAUGAGGAGCUUGCUCCUCUGACGUUAGCGGCGGACGGGUGAGUAACACGUGGAUAACCUACCUAUAAGACUGGGAUAACUUCGGGAAACCGGAGCUAAUACCGGAUAAUAUAUUGAACCGCAUGGUUCAAUAGUGAAAGACGGUUUUGCUGUCACUUAUAGAUGGAUCCGCGCCGCAUUAGCUAGUUGGUAAGGUAACGGCUUACCAAGGCAACGAUGCGUAGCCGACCUGAGAGGGGGAGCGGCCACACUGGAAAUGAGACACGGUCCAGACCCCAACGGGGGGCAGCAGUGGGGAAUUUUCCCAAAUGGGGGAAACCCUGAGGGAGCAACGCCGGGUGAGUGAUGAAGGUCUUCGGACCGUAAAACUCUGUUUUUAGGAAAAAAAAAAUGUGAAAGUAACUAUGCACGUUUUGACGGUACCUAAUCAAAAAGCCACGGCUAACUACGU